rnacentral:rRNA from 1 species
GAUGAACGCUGGCGGCGUGCCUAAUACAUGCAAGUCGAGCGAACGGACGAGAAGCUUGCUUCUCUGAUGUUGGCGGCGGACGGGUGAGUAACACGUGGAUAACCUACCUAUAAGACUGGGAUAACUUCGGGAAACCGGAGCUAAUACCGGAUAAUAUUUUGAACCGCAUGAUUCAAAAGUGAAAGACGGUCUUGCUGUCACUUAUAGAUGGAUCCGCGCUGCAUUAGCUAGUUGGUAAGGUAACGGCUUACCAAGGCAACGAUGCAUAGCCGACCUGAGAGGGUGAUCGGCCACACUGGAACUGAGACACGGUCCAGACUCCUACGGGAGGCAGCAGUAGGGAAUCUUCCGCAAUGGGCGAAAGCCUGACGGAGCAACGCCGCGUGAGUGAUGAAGGUCUUCGGAUCGUAAAACUCUGUUAUUAGGGAAGAACAUAUGUGUAAGUAACUGUGCACAUCUUGACGGUACCUAAUCAGAAAGCCACGGCUAACUACGUG